UACGGUAGGGUGCAAGCGUUGUCCGGAAUUAUUGGGCGUAAAGGGCUCAUAGGCGGUUUGUCGCGUCGGGAGUGAAAUCCACUGGCUUAACUGGUGGCUUGCUUUCGAUACGGGCAGACUGGAGGUAUGCAGGGGAGAACGGAAUUCCUGGUGUAGCGGUGAAAUGCGCAGAUAUCAGGAAGAACACCCGUGGCUAAGGCGGCUCUCUAGUACGGUACUGACGCUGAGACGCGAAAGCGUGGGGAGCGAACAGG
rnacentral:rRNA from 1 species